GCUUCUCUCUCUGCGUCAAUCCUUCGUGUUUCCUUGCUUCUCUCUCUGCGUCGAUCGUGUGUCAUAUGAAGAGUUUCUUUUCCGGGUGAUUGCACUGUUUCAGGAAAAUUGGUGUGCGAAUUUUAGGGUUUUUGUGUACAACCUUGCAAACCCCUUCUGAUUAAGUAGGUGGAUCGGAUUUGAAGUAUUUUUUAGGGUGGGUAAAAAGGUUGAGCGGAGUUGGGAAAAUUCCUAAGUGGUUAAAGAAGAGUAGAAGAAACGUUCUGUUUAUUCCUCCAGAAAAGAUUAAGA